CACGCCGUAAACGGUGGGUACUAGGUGUGGGGCUCAUUUCACGAGUUCUGUGCCGUAGCUAACGCAUUAAGUACCCCGCCUGGGGAGUACGGCCGCAAGGCUAAAACUCAAAGGAAUUGACGGGGGCCCGCACAAGCGGCGGAGCAUGUGGAUUAAUUCGAUGCAACGCGAAGAACCUUACCUGGGUUUGACAUACACCAGACGUAUGUAGAGAUACAUAUUCCCUUGUGGUUGGUGUACAGGUGG
rnacentral:rRNA from 1 species